AGUAACGAAAACAUUGGUGAGAAUCCAAUGCCCCGAAAACCCAAGGUUUCCUCCGCAUGGUUCGUCCAUGGAGGGUGAGUCAGGGCCUAAGAUCAGUCCGAAAGGCGUAGUCGAUGGACAACAGGUCAAUAUUCCUGUACUACCCCUUGUUGGUACGGAGGGACGGAGGAGGCUAGGUUAGCCGAAAGAUGGUUAUAGGUUUAAGGACACAAGGUGACCCUGCUUUUUCAGGGUAAGAAGGGGUAGAGAAAAUGCCUCGAGCCGAUGUCCGAGUACCAAGCGCUGCAGCGCUGAAGUAUGAGCCCCGUGGACUAGCGAUUGCUUCUCCACGAGGCUCAUACCAGGCGCUACGGCGCUGAAGUAUGUAACUGAUGCCAUACUCCCAGGAAAAGCUCGAACGACCUUCAACAAAAGGGUACCUGUACCCGAAACCGACACAGGUGGGUAGGUAGAGAAUACCUAGGGG
rnacentral:rRNA from 1 species